GUACUUCACAACACUGUCUUCAUCAUUCUCAACCCUCUGGGGAGUAAGAUGGAACCUUAACAUUACUGGAUAUUUAACUGAUUCAUAGAUCUUAAAAACCCAGCUGUGGAAAGCCUAGAAGCAAAAUGCCCAUCUUGCAGCUCUAAUCUACAACCUUUGAACCGCCUCAUUGAGACCAAAGUGGCCUUUCCCUCAUGGCUGUUUCCAGUCUUGUCUGCAUUCCACAUGGCCCUCAGAUCCAUCUAUCUGCAAAGAGGUACUCACAUGCAAACCUCCCUAUCUCGUGGCACAGGAAAAGGAUUUUUGCAUCUGUUAUGAUGAUCUAUAAUUCAUGGUGACCCACAUGAGCACUCUCUACCAGGGACCCAGAGUGUGCAACAUCAACCAAAGAAGGGAACCCGACUCAAUAAAGAGGAGACCAGAUAUCUGUGUGAAGAAAUACUUCAAAUAGGACAAACCUGGAUGCCUGGAUCCAACGGCAAAAGCACGAAUAUGAACAACCAAGACAAAAUGCCUUCCCCAGGAGUCAUCAACCCUAAUGCCAUAGGCCCUGAGAAAAGCAAUGUGGCUGAUGCACAAGACAGGGAAUGGGUGGUAUUCCCCUCCUGUGAUUAAUGAUGAAAAUCAGAGGUCAUGUGGGUCAAGUAACUUUUCCCAGGUCACACACCUCGAUAGUAGUAGUUGCUACAUUAACACCUGGCAUGUCUGACUUUAGAACAGUCCAUUCUAAGUAAGCACCAUGUUCCUCUGUCUCCUGCCUAGUUGCAGCCACAGAGUGACAUUAUACUCGGCAGUAUGUAAAAAGACAUGACAUCUGUCACCAUUGUGAUAAACAAGUGGUUUGUAUACAAAAUAAAAUUUGUCCUAUGUUUUAGACCAUCUGAAAUUUCAGAGACCUAUACAUUUUAUCCUAAGAUGAGAUUGUUAUGAUUUUCUUCAGAUAAAUGAUAUGUCUGUACAGAUGGGACUAUUUUCAUGGCUCUGGACUAUGGAUACUAUUCAUUGCUAUGUAACGUUAAGGUUAACUUUACAUAACAAGAAUGAUUUGAAAAGAGAUUCACCAUGAAGAAUUGGUGUUCUUGAUUCUAUGAAACUGGGACUAACCUAGCCACAAGAUAAAUUAUAAACUCAUUUCCCAAGGCUUGAUGGGAGCUCUCAGAUGUUGCCAUGUGUAUCCCUUCUAAACAUAGGUGUCCAUGAACCUGAAAAGCUCACAGACACCUCUGUUCUAGAAACACAUACCACAGAAGGCUAAAUUAACAAUCAGAUUAAUCAAGUGUUCUUUAGGCAUUGAUACAACCAGGCUGUUAAUAUUAAUUUG